CAAUAGCGUAUAUUAAAGUUGUUGCAGUUAAAAAGCUCGUAGUUGGAUUUCUGGUCGGAAGCUCCUGUCCUCUGAUGAGCGUACAAGUGCGUCCUACCAUCCUUCUGUUAACCUUUAAGGCUUUCGCGGCUUUCUAGGGGCUCAGAUAUUUUACCUUGAGAAAAUUAGAGUGUUUCAGGCAGGCUAGCGCCGGAAUACAUUAGCAUGGAAUAAUGGAAUAGGACUUUUGCCUCUUCUGUUGGUCAUGAGGCUCGAGUAAUGAUUAAUAGGGAUAGUUGGGGGCAUUAGUACUUAACUGUCAGAGGUGAAAUUCUCGGAUUUGUUAAAGACUAACUUAUGCGAAAACAUUUGCCAAGGAUGUUUUCAUUAA
rnacentral:rRNA from 1 species